rnacentral:rRNA from 1 species
UACGGAGGAUGCGAGCGUUAUCCGGAUUUAUUGGGUUUAAGGGGUGCGUAGGCGGAUUUUUAAGUCAGCGGUAAAAUGUCCGGGCUCAACCCGGGCCGGCCGUUGAAACUGGGGAUCUUGAGUGGGCGAGAAGUAUGCGGAAUGCGUGGUGUAGCGGUGAAAUGCAUAGAUAUCACGCAGAACUCCGAUUGCGAAGGCAGCAUACCGGCGCCCGACUGACGCUGAGGCACGAAAGCGUGGGGAUCGAACAGG